AUGAACGCUGGCGGCGUGCCUAAUACCUGCAAGUCGAGCGAACAGACGAGGAGCUUGCUCCUCUGACGUUAGCGGCGGACGGGUGAGUAACACGUGGAUAACCUACCUAUAAGACUGGGAUAACUUCGGGAAACCGGAGCUAAUACCGGAUAAUAUAUUGAACCGCAUGGUUCAAUAGUGAAAGACGGUUUUGCUGUCACUUAUAGAUGGAUCCGCGCCGCAUUAGCUAGUUGGUAAGGUAACGGCUUACCAAGGCAACGAUGCGUAGCCGACCUGAGAGGGUGAUCGGCCACACUGGAACUGAGACACGGUCCAGACUCCUACGGGAGGCAGCAGUAGGGAAUCUUCCGCAAUGUGCGAAAGCCUGACGGAGCAACGCCGCGUGAGUGAUGAAGGUCUUCGGAUCGUAAAACUCUGUUAUUAGGGAAGAACAAAUGUGUAAGUAACUAUGCACGUCUUGACGGUACCUAAUCAGAAAGCCACGGCUAACUACGUG
rnacentral:rRNA from 1 species